rnacentral:tmRNA from 1 species
GGGGCCGACCCGGUUUCGACGUGGGUGCGGAUCCGGCGCAGGGCAUGCCGAGCACCAGUUCGCUCGUAAAUCCACUGGAACAAAGUAACUGCGAACGACGAACGUUUCGCUCUCGCCGCUUAACACCGGUGAGCCUCUCAACGGCAGGCCGAUGGGCCGGGCCCGCAAGGGCUGAGAGGUCAUUCACAUCGGCUGGUUGCUGACCGGGUCACUCGGUCGGUAGCGAGAUCAAGUGACUGGCUUCGCAGGUAGCGUGCUGCUGCGCGACCUGCGAGGCGAGACUCAAAUCAGCCAGCUAAGCAUGUAGAACUGUCCGGUGAUGGCUUGCGGACGGGGGUUCAAUUCCCCCCGGCUCCACCA